rnacentral:lncRNA from 1 species
CCUGGGGACCACAUACUGCCACCCCUGCUGUGUUAGUUAUUUGUCUGCGGCCUCCUAGGUCGUGGGCAUAUGUAAAACCCCAAGAGCAAACUGGAGGGCUUAUUUAGGAUUUUCUACUUGUCCUUUGGGUUUUUCAUUUCAUUUUGUUUGGCGGGGUUUCUAUAUUGACAGCCAAAUCAAUUCUGUGAUUUCUUUUUUCUGCUUUUUUAGAGCUGCACCUGUGCGGACCUAGAAAAAAAAAAAAGAAUUGCCGUGUGUCCUUUAGGUUUUCAUUUCAUCUCAUUUGGUCCCAUCUGGUGUGGUUUCUCCAUUGACAGCCAAAUCAACUGUGAUAUUUAAAACUUGGUGAUGUCAGAUGGAGGAAAGGAAAGACAAAACCUGACAUUCCCGGGAGAAGAGACAGACUCCACGGGGUCCCUAAAAUUGCCAAAAGCCCCAGCCCAGAAUCCAGGCCGGCUGGUUGAGGUCAAGGCGAAAGUCACCGUUUCAUGUUCAGAGGUGAUCAACUGCUACUUAGGAUUUUACGGUGGCCUUUCUGUGAGGAAGCCCGGAAGGAGGGUGGAAUCCUUUCGGGCAAGGGUCUGUGCAGUUCCGUCAGGGAGAACAGAGAAGGAAAGGAAGGAGCAGGAGGGUGGAGGACCUGCUGCUUUAACGCCUAACCCUCCAGCCAAGCGAGCUCUCCUAGCCCCUCCAGCCGCUCUGCCCGCACAUCUACUCUUUCCACCACCUUCUGCUCCUGUCCAGCUCCUGUCCAGCCCCAAGUCGGGACAACAGGGGCUCAGGCCCUCCCUUCCUCAUAGGAGUCAAUUAGAAGAUCCUGGAGUUCCCGUCGUGGCGCAGUGGUUAACGAAUCCGACUAGGAACCAUGAGGUUGCGGGUUCGGUCCCUGCCCUUGCUCAGUGGGUUAACGAUCCGGUGUUGCCGUGAGCUGUGGUGUAGGUUGCAGACGCGGCUCGGGUCCUGCGUUGCUGUGGCUCUGGCAUAGGCUGGUGGCUACAGCUCCGAUUGGACCCCUAGCCUGGGAACCUCCAUAUGCCACGGGAGCGGCCCAAGAAAUAGAAAAAAAAAAAGACAAAAAAAAAGAAGAUCCUGUGUGUGGGAGUUCCCAUCGUGGCUAAGCGAAAAGGAACCCGACUAGAAUCCACGAGGAUGCGGGUUUGAUCCCUAGCCUUGCUCAGUGGGUUAAGGAUCCGGCAUUGCCUGACCUGUAGUGUAGGUCACAGAAGCGGCUCAGAUCCCGCGUUGCUGUGGGUGUGGUAUAGGCCUGCAGCUGUAGCUCUGAUUCAACCACUAGCCUGGGAAGUUCCAUGUGCCUUGGGUGUGGCCCUAAAAAGCAAAAUAAAAAAAAAGGAUCCUGUGUGAGUUUCUGGGGCACAGGGACGUGAUCUGAUAUCACCAUCUAAGACCCAACAGGGUGCCCCACUGGGUCCAGGAGCCACUCCCAGGGCAGGGCGGUUUCUCUUAUGGGGCACCUCACUGGGGGUAAGGGCAGAAGACGAUGGGCCAGCUGGGUUGCUCG